GUUCCAGACUCCUACGGGAGGCAGCAGUGAGGAAUAUUGGUCAAUGGGAGAGAUCCUGAACCAGCCAAGCCGCGUGAGGGAAGACGGCCCUAUGGGUUGUAAACCUCUUUUGUCGGAGAACAAAACCCGGGACGUGUCCCGGACUGCGUGUAUCCGAAGAAAAAGCAUCGGCUAACUCCGUGCCAGCAGCCGCGGUAAUACGUAGGGGGCGAGCGUUAUCCGGAUUCACUGGGUGUAAAGGGAGCGUAGACGGCCAUGCAAGCCAGGGGUGAAAGCCCGGGGCCCAACCCCGGGACUGCCCUUGGAACUGCAUGGCUGGAGUGCGGGAGGGGCAGGCGGAAUUCCUGGUGUAGCGGUGAAAUGCGUAGAUAUCAGGAGGAACACCGGCGGCGAAGGCGGCCUGCUGGACCGCGACUGACGUUGAGGCUCGAAAGCGUGGGGAGCGAACAGGAUUAGAUACCCGGGUACA
rnacentral:rRNA from 1 species